UUUUGUAUAAAACUUCGCAGAAUCGAAAUCAAGCAGAUCGAAAUCAAAACGUCGCAACAACAAUUAUCAAUAUUUAUUUUGGUUCAUUUUUCGAACCGAUAUUGAAUAAACGCGUUCGUAUUCAUUUGUAAUACUUCAAAUUAAAAAAAGAAAGAAAAGAAAAUUAGUACUAAUCUCUGAAAUCAUAAUAUUCUGUGUUCACUAUAAAAUAGAAACCUUAAGAUUAAAAAUGGUAGGCGACGACGUUUUACUGGCGUUCUAAUAACCUUAUUACUUUCCCUUUUAAUUCGUUUGUUCAUGAUCGUGGAAAGUCGGUGACGAGUAAUAUUUACGGGAAAAAAGAGGAGAGAAAAGAAUGAGAGAGAUAGAAAAAAUUUUUUUUUCAGUUCGUCUACGUUCCUUUUUAUUAUACACACACACACACACACACACACACACACACAUAUAUAUAUAUGCAUAUAUAUCAAUUCUGAUUUCGCCCAACGAAAAAAUCGAUACGAGAUAGCUGAGUUUUUGCUAAUAUCUAUUUAAUAAGCCGGGAAAGCUUUCGAAUCGAUUCCGGAAUAAAAAUCUGUAAUCUUUUCAUCAUUAAUGAGAAUAGUCUCUAAUCGGAUUAUAAAAAAAAAAUACUCGAUAAGAAUACGUAUAUGUGUGUGCAACGUAUAUCAUAAGAGUAUAAGAAAUAAUAUACGUUUUAUGAAAUGAAUAAUAUUAAUGUGUAGCUUUAUCGAAUUGGCAUAUAAAAAACAGAAAGUAGCAAUGUAAAAAUCAAUGUUGAUGUUGUGUUAUACGUAAAAAUAAUACAUUUCACAAUUAUAAAAUUCGCGAAAACAAUUUGAGGAAGGAAAUAUGAAAGAUAAAAGAUUGUUGCUGUGUAUAUUGAAUUAUUUAAUUGAUUAGGUACCAUUAAAGGUACGAAAAAAAAGAAUGUUGAUAUCUUGGAAGUUUAAAAAUGAUUAAAGAAAUGUAAAUUAUUAUAAUGAUCACGUACUAUAUAUUCUUACGAUCGAUCACUUGUCAUAUAAUGAUCGUAAAAAUAAGAAAUAAAACAUAAUAAAAAUAAUUAUUAUCGUACUUUCGUAGAAUCUGAUAUCUAUAUGACUAAUCAAUUAGAACAUAAUCGAUCAGAGUUAAAAUGAAAACUCUAAAUUAUUCAUCAUCCUACAAUUUCACGACAGAUAUAAAAUUUUGUUUUAUCCCUAAAUAUAUCUAGAUCCGUGCAAUGCCGAUAAUUCUUCAACGUUCUUAAAGACCAUUAAUCAUAUCGUAUGUACGUAAAACUAAGUAAAAUUAUUUUUCUGGUCUGAUUUUUCGAUUUGUCACACGCGUGACGUUCAUUAAAUCUGGCCUUCUUUCUUUUGCUUUUACGAUAUCGAUGAUGAAUACCUUAAAAAUAUAUUCACAAAAAUUAAUAAAUACGUAUAAAUCAUUAGAAAUGUAUAACAAUGCUUCAAAUAUAUUAUCGAAAAGUAUAUCUAUAGAUAAUACCAUUUUGCGAUUCGAUUAUUACGAUUGGUCGUGUCAUGUCUAAACGCACACUAAGUAUAACCGCUCUGUUUCAUGAGACGAUGUGCGUGAAUUAUUUUUAAAAGAGCCGAACUUGUUACUGAAUAUAAAUACACGAAUAUUAUAAUUUUAAUUAUAAAUAUAAUAAGAAUAAGAAAAAUAAUAGUAGUAGCACUAAUAAUAAUAAUAAUAAUAAUAAUAAUAAUAAUAAUAACAAUAAUAGUAAUAAUAGUAAUAAUAAUACUAAUAAUAAUAAUCAAGAACUAGCACUAAAAUAUCAACUUAUAAAAACGCACACAAACUAUCGUAUUAUAAAUGCAAAUCUGAACAUAUAAUUGAAAACGAAGAAUACAAACCAUACUGAUACAAGACAAUUCACAAAGCUAUAACAGUAUAAUAAUAAAUAAUAUAGCGGGCAUCACAUUAAUUAAUAAAAAAAAAGGAAGAGAUAAACUUUGCAAAUGACGCAAAUGGCACACAAAAGUAAUAUCUAAGAAAAAAAUGACAAAAUACACAUGGACGAUCUUAGGGUUGAACAAAAGCAAACAUUCAUUAUUGCUGUUGAAAACAACAGCAAUAGUACGGGAUUAUAGUAAAGUGAAGAGGAGAAUUGCGAGAUUAGUAAAGCGAUAUUGUGCAUGUUUAUAGUCAAGAGAAAAGCAACGAUAAACUAAAUAUUAUAGCGUGCUAUGUUUCUUCAAUAUGUCAAAUAUCAUUGUCAAAGCUUCUAAAGUUUAUGCUUACUAUUAAUAUAAAAAAUAUUAUAAUUAUAUUAAAUAUUAAAAAUUAUAUUAAAAAUUAUUAAUUUAUUUAAUGUUUAUAUUAAAAAUUGCUCCAAUGUUUUGACAUAAUAUUUUUUUUCACUGUUGAAAAAUACUUGGUUCUUAUCAGGGAAAUUCCCGUGGCUAGCCGAAUGCCCUCGAGCGCGGUUAUCUCUGCUAACAGAAACGAACAUUUUUCUUUUUAGUUGCAUCGCUAGUGGACAUCGCCUUCCUCACGAUUCUCUUCAAUACUUUAUUAUAAACACUUUAUUAUAAACACAGAAAUACAUUGGUUUCAUUUUAUCGUGUUGUUCAUUUUCAUAGUUAAAAAAAUUAGCAAAAGCAGUUGUAAAAUAAUACCUGACUUGAUCGCAACCCAUGACGUCAUAAAAGAUGACUUUUAACUAUGAAAGUUGAUGUUUCGAUUAUCGAAAAAAAAUACUAUAUAUCAACGUAUAACUGUAUUAUUCGAGCUCAUAAUACUUAUUCAAAAGUACAUUGAAAGAAGUAAUUAUAAUAAAUGUAGUAGAAAGAAGUCGCAUGCUUUAUGAUAAAAAAAAAAAGGAAAAUAACAAAUAAUAAUUAAUAACAAUCAUUAAUUUUGAAUGAUGAAAAUCGUGUAAACGAAUCAUUCUGUCGAUUGCUGUGAACGUGAUUAUUAUAAUCGCAUUGUUCACGACGUCCACAUACACUGGAAAAUAGAAGGUAUAAAUAUAGUUAUAUGUGUAUAUAUGUUUCAUGUGUCCAUUUUAUGACGAAUAAAUUAAUUUCUCGCAAAAUAAUACUACUUCAAAGUAAUCACGGAUGAUGUACUUUGUAUAUAUUAAACAGGUAAACAUGUAAAAUGUUUUAAAUUAAUUUUACUAAUAUUUGUGAUUAUGUUAUUCUUUUGUUCCAGUACGAUCAUUUCUUAAUACAGCUUUCUAAUAUUAUUGAUAAAUAUAAUUUAUCACGUUAUCAUUUAAAUUAGUAACAUCAAUAUCAGGUUACCAUUCGAAAAAUGUUACAUAAAAAAAUGAGCUAUUUUACUUAAACAUUGUUUCCCUUAUCUUGCUUAACUUAAAAAAUUAAUCCGUUUCUUCAUUCAACUUUAAUUCUGUAUAUUUCUAACAUUUAUGACAAUGACUGAUCAUUCAUUUGUGUAAUUAUUAAGCGGUCACUAUACUUGUAUUUUACAUUUAAUUUACUUUUUAAUGAAGAUGUAUUUAAUGUUUAUAAUAUCGCCGGCAAUAAUACGUACGUAAUAAUAACAAAUUCAAUUAUCUCUAAGUUUCAAUGUCGGAGAAAAAUAUCCACGCUAAACGACUGGAAUUUAAUAAUUUUCGAUAUAAUAGAAUUAAUCGCGUUUCCCGUAGAUCAUAUUUAUAUACGACUUAUUAAGCAAUUUGCAGUAGUUAAAUGAGUCAAUAAGAAAAAUUACUAUCUCUGAGCUGAGAUCAUUUUGUGUGUACAUUUAAAUAUUGAAGAUAGAUAGAGAGAGAGAGAGAGAGAGAGAGAGAGAGAGAGAGAGAGAGAGGGAGGGAGAGAGGAGAAUGGUAUUUGAAAUGAAAGUAUUUGUUUGAAGCUUGACGAUUGUCAAUUUAUUAUAAAUAUUCUUAACGAAAAACGCAUAUCGUCUCUUGAUCGAGCUUUAACAAAAUAAAAAAAAAAUUAAUUUAAUAGAAAAAUAGAGACGAAAGUAUCUACGUAGAUGUGUACUUAUUUUCUUUUUCUUCAUAAAAAUUUUUCUUCGUACAAAUUAUAUAUCUUAAAGAAGAUAAAAGAUAAAAAAAGGAAGAUUUUAAUUGUAUUUCAAUUGAUAUAAAAUAAUACGACAUGUUCGAACGGAAAUUAUGUAUUUACGAAAUAAUUAUCACGUAGUCUAUCGAUAUCGAUAAAAGUAGAAAGAUAGUAUAAAGUAUUUUCGAAGAAAGCGAAAGACGUAUAGAGAUAUGGACUUUAGAUAUUCUUGUAUGCAUAGCGAUGAAUUAAACGUCAAAAUAAAUCCAAUUUGUAUUUAUGUUAUUUUAUUAUCUCUAUUAAGUCUAUAAUUCGCAUUUCGAAACUUUAAACGAAAUCAUUUUUUGUCGAUUGUAUAUCAAAUGUCAGCGAGGCAUAACUUUAUUAAAAAAAAAAAGAAAAAACAGUUAAACAAAAAAAAAAAAAAGAAAGAGGAGAGAAAAGAAAGAAAGUUUGAUAAAACUUGUUUCAAUCUUUAUCAGUGCAUGAGAAGAGAAAUGUAUACAGAAUAUUUAUAUUUUUGUAUAAUAAAUAAUAUCUUUCGUUUCUCGUAAAAUUUUUCGAAUGGAUGAGGAAACUAUGUUUUUACAUUAAAAUCAGUUGUUGUGCAUUAAUAGAAAAUUAAAUGUCUACGAUUUCACAUUUAAAUGUUAAAAUAAAAAAGAAACCCACCCUACUUAAAAAAACAAAAAGAAAAAAACAUGAAAAAUAAAAAAUAAACAAAAUGAAAGCUAAACUAGUUAUCUGCCGAUAUAAGAACAAAAAAAGAAAAAAGGACAAAACAUAAUGUGCUAACAAGAAAUCGAACUAUAUUGCUAUUACGAUCCAUACUGUAUGUUCUGUAUAUUAUGAAUGUUUAGAGGACCAAGAAAUAUAAUAUACCGAUGUGAA